rnacentral:rRNA from 1 species
CCAGAGAAUUUAGCAGAGAUGCUUUAGUGCCUUCGGGAACUCUGAGACAGGUGCUGCAUGGCUGUCGUCAGCUCGUGUUGUGAAAUGUUGGGUUAAGUCCCGCAACGAGCGCAACCCUUAUCCUUUGUUGCCAGCACGUAAUGGUGGGAACUCAAAGGAGACUGCCGGUGAUAAACCGGAGGAAGGUGGGGAUGACGUCAAGUCAUCAUGGCCCUUACGAGUAGGGCUACACACGUGCUACAAUGGCGCAUACAAAGAGAAGCGACCUCGCGAGAGCAAGCGGACCUCAUAAAGUGCGUCGUAGUCCGGAUUGGAGUCUGCAACUCGACUCCAUGAAGUCGGAAUCGCUAGUAAUCGUAAAUCAGAAUGUUACGGUGAAUACGUUCCCGGGCCUUGUACACACCGCCCGUCACACCAUGGGAGUGGGUUGCAAAAGAAGUAGAUAGCUUAACCUUCGGGAGGGCGUUUACCACUUUGUGAUUCAUGACUGGAGUGAAGUCGUAACAAGGUAAGCGUAGUGCU